CUGGCGGCGUGCCUAAUACAUGCAAGUCGAGCGAACCACUUCGGUGGGAAGCGGCGAACGGGUGAGUAACACGUAGGUGAUCUGCCCAUCAGACGGGGACAACGAUUGGAAACGAUCGCUAAUACCGGAUAGGACGAAAGUUUAAAGAUGCUCCUGGCAUCACUGAUGGAUGAGCCUGCGGCGCAUUAGCUAGUUGGUGGGGUAAAGGCCUACCAAGGCGACGAUGCGUAGCCGACCUGAGAGGGUGAACGGCCACACUGGGACUGAGACACGGCCCAGACUCCUACGGGAGGCAGCAGUAGGGAAUCUUCGGCAAUGGGCGAAAGCCUGACCGAGCAACGCCGCGUGAAUGAAGAAGGCCUUCGGGUUGUAAAAUUCUGUUAUAAGGGAAGAAAGGUGAUAGGAGGAAAUGACUAUCAAUUGACGGUACCUUAUGAGAAAGCCACGGCUAACUACGUGCCAGCAGCCGCGGUAAUACGUAGGUGGCAAGCGUUAUCCGGAAUUAUUGGGCGUAAAGAGCGCGCAGGUGGUUAAUUAAGUCUGAUGUGAAAGCCCACGGCUUAACCGUGGAGGGUCAUUGGAAACUGGUUGACUUGAGUGCAGAAGAGGGAAGUGGAAUUCCAUGUGUAGCGGUGAAAUGCGUAGAGAUAUGGAGGAACACCAGUGGCGAAGGCGGCUUCCUGGUCUGCAACUGACACUGAGGCGCGAAAGCGUGGGGAGCAAACA
rnacentral:rRNA from 1 species